GCUUGCUGGGGGGAUUAGUGGCGAACGGGUGAGUAACACGUGAGUAACCUGCCCUUGACUCUGGGAUAAGCCUGGGAAACUGGGUCUAAUACCGGAUAUGACUCCUCAUCGCAUGGUGGGGGGUGGAAAGCUUUUGUGGUUUUGGAUGGACUCGCGGCCUAUCAGCUUGUUGGUGGGGUAAUGGCCUACCAAGGCGACGACGGGUAGCCGGCCUGAGAGGGUGACCGGCCACACUGGGACUGAGACACGGCCCAGACUCCUACGGGAGGCAGCAGUGGGGAAUAUUGCACAAUGGGCGGAAGCCUGAUGCAGCGACGCCGCGUGAGGGAUGACGGCCUUCGGGUUGUAAACCUCUUUCAGUAGGGAAGAAGCCGCAAGGUGACGGUACCUGCAGAAGAAGCGCCGGCUAACUACGUGCCAGCAGCCGCGGUAAUACGUAGGGCGCAAGCGUUAUCCGGAAUUAUUGGGCGUAAAGAGCUCGUACGCGGUUUGUCGCGUCUGCUGUGAAAGACCGGGGCUCAACUCCGGUUCUGCAGUGGGUACGGGCAGACUA
rnacentral:rRNA from 1 species